CCAGGUUCGGCACGUUCCCUUCAUUUGAAUAGAACUGAGUGCUAGCUCCCUGGUGGCCGUUCUCAUGAACAAAACCCAUGAACGGUCUUCAGCGGUACUUAGCCAUGACCGUUAUGAGACUAAUUUCGGCAUAAGGACUUUGUGGUUCCCUGGUCACUUCAACAAUACUUAACCGUAAGCAACGUGGCCAUAAUAAAGCAGUUCCUUUUCACCUUC